UACGUAGGGUGCGAGCGUUGUCCGGAAUUAUUGGGCGUAAAGAGCUUGUAGGCGGUUUGUCGCGUCUGCUGUGAAAAUCCGGGGCCCAACCCCGGACUUGCAGUGGGUACGGGCAGACUAGAGUGUGGUAGGGGAGACUGGAAUUCCUGGUGUAGCGGUGAAAUGCGCAGAUAUCAGGAGGAACACCGAUGGCGAAGGCAGGUCUCUGGGCCACUACUGACGCUGAGAAGCGAAAGCAUGGGGAGCGAACAGG
rnacentral:rRNA from 1 species